AUGGCGAUGUCAAUGAACAAGAAAAUGAAACAGUUACACCGGUGCCCAUACCCUAAGGAGUUGAGGAGGCAAAGGAACAGGGAGCGGUAUGCACAAAAUAGGUAUUCAGAAAAUGGUUGUACAGAGAGUUUCCAGAACAUUAUAGAUGGAUACCUGGAAAUAAGAAGUGGCAGAAUAGAAGAAAUAAGUGAUCACAGAUUGGAAGACUUGUGCAUGCACACCCUGCUGAAGGAGAGAGGUACUACUUGCGUGUGCUCCUAA
rnacentral:rRNA from 1 species